rnacentral:siRNA from 1 species
CGAACAACUGCGAAAGCAUUUGC